UCGGGAAUUUUGGGCAAUGGGCGAAAGCCUGACCCAGCAACGCCGCGUGAAGGAUGAAGUAUUUCGGUAUGUAAACUUCGAAAGAAUGGGAAGAAUAAAUGACGGUACCAUUUAUAAGCUCCGGCUAACUACGUGCCAGCAGCCGCGGUAAUACGUAGGGAGCAAGCGUUGUUCGGAUUUACUGGGCGUAAAGGGCGCGUAGGCGGCGCGGUAAGUCACUUGUGAAAUCUCUGAGCUUAACUCAGAACGGCCAAGUGAUACUGCAGUGCUAGAGUGCAGAAGGGGCAAUCGGAAUUCUUGGUGUAGCGGUGAAAUGCGUAGAUAUCAAGAGGAACACCUGAGGUGAAGACGGGUUGCUGGGCUGACACUGACGCUGAAGCGCGAAAGCCAGGGGAGCAAACGGG
rnacentral:rRNA from 1 species